CGUGGAUACUAUUUUGUAGGUGUUCGUUCCUGACGACAGGCAAUGGAGAGUUGGCCGCAACAAGUUUGAUUUAUUGAGUUACCAAUAUAAAAUUUUAAAGUUUUUUCACCUAUCUCUAGCCCAAUGAUGAUUCCAAUCUUUUGCUAUAACUUACGUAACUACCCAAGAUUUCAUCCAAAAAGAUUAGUCUGAAGGUAUUACUUAGAUUUUUUGAUCAUGUAUAAACAUUCAA
rnacentral:lncRNA from 1 species